ACGGGAGGCAGCAGUGGGGGAUAUUGCACAAUGGAGGAAACUCUGAUGCAGCGACGCCGCGUGAGGGAAGAAGGUUUUCGGAUUGUAAACCUCUGUCUUAUGGGACGAUAAUGACGGUACCAUAGGAGGAAGCCACGGCUAACUACGUGCCAGCAGCCGCGGUAAUACGUAGGUGGCAAGCGUUGUCCGGAAUUACUGGGUGUAAAGGGAGCGUAGGCGGGAAUGCAAGUUGAAUGUUUAAACUAUCGGCUCAACCGAUAAUCGCGUUCAAAACUGCGUUUCUUGAGUGAAGUAGAGGCAAGCGGAAUUCCUAGUGUAGCGGUGAAAUGCGUAGAUAUUAGGAGGAACACCAGUGGCGAAGGCGGCUUGCUGGGCUUUUACUGACGCUGAGGCUCGAAAGUGUGGGUAGCAAACAGGAUUAGAUACCCUGGUA
rnacentral:rRNA from 2 species